CUGGCGACAGAGAAUAGGGGUUUAUUUUGGAAACUGCUAAUGGCUUUGUUUGCACAUUUAUUCCCUUUGCUGAGAGAGGCUGCAGACUGUUUCUGUGACCUUUUGUGUUUCUGUGAUAAGAAGCUGUUUUGGGGGAAAGCAGAUCUGAUGCUUUUGGGCACCUAGGAGCCUUUGGAAAGGCCUCCAAACCAUCCACGCCGAGGGAGGCAGGAUGCUGAUUGCAGCUGGAAUCCAUAGCUGGGCAAUGUUUGCUCAGGUUUUGCUGGAAACAUCUUACUGCUCAGAGGAGAAAUAGAGCCUUCGUGUACUGAGUGCAACUUGCUUAGAAAUGGAGCUGUGGCAUGUCAGCAGGUCCUGCACCUGGAGAAUAGAUCAGUGCUGCCUACCUUGCUUCCCUGGGGUACCCAUGGCCUCCCUUGCCAUCUGCCUGCAACGUGCCAGGAGCUGGGGCUGGUUCCUCACUGGAACUCCAUGGAGGAGCCAGUUCCCGUGGAGCCCUGGCUGCACUGAUAUCUCCAGCACUUAAAAGAAAUGUCAGAGAAUCUGCAAGGAUUAGAACUGAGAGUGCUCAGAAGCUCUGCUGUGCUUUUUUCUGAGGUGACUUUUCCCACAUUACUCGGAGGCAUUGGCUGCCCAUCUCACCUCAUCUCUCCACAGACACGAGCUGUUUGUCAGCUGCUUAACCUUCUGCCUCCAUCCCUUCAAGCUGAGCUUUUAUGGAUGAGCUGGGCUCUGGUGGGUCCAGCCCAGGAGCAGCCUGAAGUCAGGCACAUCUUCACCUUACCCUGCCAGAGUAUGCAAAGAUAUCGAUGAAUGGGGAAAGGUAUUGCAGCUUCCUGUGCCGGACAAUAAUUUAUGUGAGAAUGUGUUAACAAUGUUUCCAAUGGGCGAUGGACAUGCCCGGAGCUGGGAAAAUUGGAUCUUGACUGUGACAUCUCAGCUUCUCAAUUAGAACAUUCAGAUGUCUGUUGCUUUAGGAACAACAACAACAAAAAAUACUAAACCUGUGUUUCCAAUCAAUUACAAAUUUGUCUGCCAUCCCUCAUAAAGACUGCAGUACUGGUGGGAAAUACGUGCUGGGAGGUAAGAACAUAUUCUACAGAAACUUGUUUUCCAGUUUUUGGUGUCUAGGAGUGUGUAAAUAGAGUUACACUAUGAUGUGUGGCCACAGUCCUUGAAAGUCCCCUUGAUCAAUACUGCACACAACAUAUAAAAUGUACAAUAGAGCUUAAGUAAAGUAACAUUAAAUUGAUCAACACUGA